UAUCAUUUUGGAUGAUGAUGGCAAAUGAUUGUUAUUGAUUUCUCCAACCUCAACUUCAGAUUGUUUGCCCUCAGAUGGAAUCUCGGAAGGAACCUCUGUCCGACUCAUUGGUCUUUUGGGACGAACUUGUUCAAGGGCAUGGGCAUCUUCUCCACUGCUUGUUGAUGGUUCUUUAGAAGCAACUGAAAAUUCCAGGUUAUUGCCUACUUCAUGCACAGUGCUCCAAUCACCCUUACCAAAGUUAUCAAGCAUUGUGUCAAAAUAUGUUCCCCCCACC
rnacentral:misc_RNA from 1 species